rnacentral:rRNA from 1 species
AAAUUGAAGAGUUUGAUCAUGGCUCAGAUUGAACGCUGGCGGCAGGCCUAACACAUGCAAGUCGAACGGUAACAGGAAGCAGCUUGCUGCUUCGCUGACGAGUGGCGGACGGGUGAGUAAUGUCUGGGAAACUGCCUGAUGGAGGGGGAUAACUACUGGAAACGGUGGCUAAUACCGCAUAACGUCGCAAGACCAAAGAGGGGGACCUUCGGGCCUCUUGCCAUCAGAUGUGCCCAGAUGGGAUUAGCUAGUUGGUGAGGUAACGGCUCACCAAGGCGACGAUCCCUAGCUGGUCUGAGAGGAUGACCAGCCACACUGGAACUGAGACACGGUCCAGACUCCUACGGGAGGCAGCAGUGGGGAAUAUUGCACAAUGGGCGCAAGCCUGAUGCAGCCAUGCCGCGUGUAUGAAGAAGGCCUUCGGGUUGUAAAGUACUUUCAGCGGGGAGGAAGGUGUUGCGGUUAAUAACCGCAGCAAUUGACGUUACCCGCAGAAGAAGCACCGGCUAACUCCGUGCCAGCAGCCGCGGUAAUACGGAGGGUGCAAGCGUUAAUCGGAAUUACUGGGCGUAAAGCGCACGCAGGCGGUCUGUCAAGUCGGAUGUGAAAUCCCCGGGCUCAACCUGGGAACUGCAUUCGAAACUGGCAGGCUUGAGUCUUGUAGAGGGGGGUAGAAUUCCAGGUGUAGCGGUGAAAUGCGUAGAGAUCUGGAGGAAUACCGGUGGCGAAGGCGGCCCCCUGGACAAAGACUGACGCUCAGGUGCGAAAGCGUGGGGAGCAAACAGGAUUAGAUACCCUGGUAGUCCACGCCGUAAACGAUGUCUACUUGGAGGUUGUGCCCUUGAGGCGUGGCUUCCGGAGCUAACGCGUUAAGUAGACCGCCUGGGGAGUACGGCCGCAAGGUUAAAACUCAAAUGAAUUGACGGGGGCCCGCACAAGCGGUGGAGCAUGUGGUUUAAUUCGAUGCAACGCGAAGAACCUUACCUGGUCUUGACAUCCACAGAA